AUCAUUAUUCACAAUCAUCCAUGGUAAAGAGUCUCCAUAGUGACAAGUUUCAACUUUCAAUGUUGAAUAACAAUUUAGUAAGAAUUUGUAAUGAUUCAAUGUAAUAAAUCUUGUCAUAAAACUGGAGGAAGGGGCAGAAAACAACAGCAGGAAGACGCACUCGGCUUCAUGAUAGCAGAUCGUUAAUAUAUGCACAGCACAACAGCCGACAAUUCUAUAUUGUUGAAUCUCUGAAUGCUGAAGGAGAGUUAAUUAUUGACUUGAGCUGUAGAGAAAACAAGAACUUGGGACAUGGAAAAGAAAUUUUAGCACCAUUAGUUGGGAUUUGGAGUUGCAGCUUCUAGGGUUGUAGUGAUCUCAUUUUCUGGAGUGUUUUAUUGUGAUAAUGUGUGGUUGCUCGGUAUGUAAUACCAAACCAUCAUAUCUAAAUGUUUUGGGUAGGCCUGUUUGGUUUUUCGUUUUUAAAUAAAACUGAGAACCAGACCGAAUCGUACGGUCCUUGGAUCUUUGCUUGUUCAUUAGCCUCUGUUGCCAACCUGUAGCUUGUCUCGUAUAUGUGUUGAAGUGGUGAUCUGAAGCUUUAUACAUCUUUCCAAUCAUCUUAUCUCCUUUAGGUCUGCCAAUGUAAAAAUGAUGCUGUAGUGCAAGCAGCUGUUAUGGUUCUGAUGAUCUCUGUUAAGGUAAUUUAUUUUAACCAGCCAAUAACUAUAUUCACUACAACAACUUCAGCAUGCUGAUUUUCUUGUUGAAUAGAUGCAUAUGAAGUGAAAUUCUUGCAGUUGUCAUAUUCCCUUUUGUGAUUUAUUGGCUCCUACACAUGGGUAUAUUUGCAAUAUAAAUUAAGUUCACGGAUAAGCUUGAGCUCUUUUUCAAUUCAUUAAUAAAAUAAUGAUAGAGACUGCUUAUAUUGUCAAAGUUAUAAUCCUAUCUGGAUAGAAAGUUGUUGUUUGGGUGAUUACUCGUGUGAACUAGCAACUAGGCUAAUCCAAACCUGUGAAAUAGGUAAUUAUGUGCCAUUUACGUUUAAGUUAGCUGGUCAUGCCAGUAACUGUAAGGCAGUGGGAAGUUUAUUCUGCAUGACCGAGUGCAUAAAUGCUAAAGAAUCCCAAGUACCAUAGUGUUGACUGCCUUGAUGGGCUUACAGAUGACCAAAUACCAGAACGAUUUAAUUUAUAGGGGAAUAACUGGUAUGGACGUCCUUGAAUGAGGUGGGGGCUGGUGGCGGCAGCUAUGACGCACUUUUACCCUUUGAAAAAAGAUAAUAAAACAUUUUCGAGGCUGAGUUUGGUAUUUGUCUUAUUCUAUGACUGAAAUAGGGUUNN
rnacentral:lncRNA from 1 species